rnacentral:rRNA from 1 species
UACGUAGGGGGCUAGCGUUGUCCGGAAUCAUUGGGCGUAAAGCGCGUGUAGGCGGUCCGGUAAGUCCGCUGUGAAGGUCGGGGGCUCAACCCUCGAAUGCCGGUGGAUACUGUCGGGCUAGAGUGCGGAAGAGGCGAGUGGAAUUCCUGGUGUAGCGGUGAAAUGCGCAGAUAUCAGGAGGAACACCAAUUGCGAAGGCAGCUCGCUGGGACGUUACUGACGCUGAGACGCGAAAGCGUGGGGAGCAAACAGG